rnacentral:rRNA from 1 species
UCAGACGAUGCGUCAUGCAUAUCAAUAAGCGGAGGAAAAGAAACUAACAAGGAUUCCCCUAGUAACGGCGAGUGAAGCGGGAAGAGCUCAAAUUUGAAAUCUUAAAGGGUUUCCCUUUACGAAUUGUAGUUUAAAGAAGUGUUUUCUGUUGAGGUUUUGGUAAAAGUUCUUUGGAAUAGGACAUCAUAGAGGGUGAGAAUCCCGUAUUUGACCUUUACUUUCAACUUUGUGAUACACUUUCAAAGAGUCGGAUUGUUUGGGAAUGCAGUCCAAAAUGGGUGGUAAAUUUCAUCCUAAAGCUAAAUAUUGGCGAGAGACCGAUAGCGAACAAGUACCGUGAGGGAAAGAUGAAAAGAACUUUGAAAAGAGAGUUAAACAGUACGUGAAAUUGUCAAAAGGGAAGCGUUUGACACCAGUGUUGUUUUUCUGAAAAUCAAUUAAAGAACUGUUUAUGCUAAGCUGUUUAGACUUUAUCAGCUAUCUGUUUAGUUUUGAGCUUUUCUUUAAUGCACUUUUCAGUUAACAAGUCAACAUCAAUUUCUUUUGCUGUAAAAAAGCUUGAGGAAGGUGGCUUGAGAUUCGUCUUAAGUGUUUAUAGCCUCUUGCCUAUGCAGUCGGAGAGAUUGAGGUCUGCAGCGUAGAUCCUUCGGGGCUAAAUGCAUUUGUGCUAAGUUAUAGCAUUUUAUAGACAACUUGUUGACUAUGAUUUGUCUUGUAGCUUACUCGCUUAUGUUAUUUUACCUACGCUUAGGAUGUUGAUCUGUAGUGCGUGCGC